UACGUAGGGUGCGAGCGUUGUCCGGAAUUAUUGGGCGUAAAGAGCUCGUAGGCGGUUUGUUGCGUCGGCCGUGAAAACCUGCAGCUUAACUGUGGGCCUGCGGCCGAUACGGGCAGACUUGAGUUCGGUAGGGGAGACUGGAAUUCCUGGUGUAGCGGUGAAAUGCGCAGAUAUCAGGAAGAACACCAAUGGCGAAAGCAGCUUUCUGGGACGGUACUGACGCUGAGACGCGAAAGCGUGGGGAGCGAACAGG
rnacentral:rRNA from 1 species